rnacentral:rRNA from 1 species
CGGUCGGUUUACAGGUGGUGCAUGGUUGUCGUCAGCUCGUGUCGUGAGAUGUUGGGUUAAGUCCCGCAACGAGCGCAACCCUCGUUCUAUGUUGCCAGGACGUGAUGGUGGGGACUCAUAGGAGACUGCCGGGGUCAACUCGGAGGAAGGUGGGGACGACGUCAAAUCAUCAUGGCCCUUAUGUCUUGGGCUUCACGCAUGCUACAAUGGCCGGUACAAAGGGUUGCGAUACUGUGAGGUGGAGCUAAUUCCAAAAAGCCGGUCUCAGUUCGGAUUGGGGUCUGCAACUCGACCCCAUGAAGUCGGAGUCGCUAGUAAUCGCAGAUCAGCAACGCUGCGGUGAAUACGUUCCCGGGCCUUGU